AACGGCUUACCGAGACCGCGAGAGAGAGAGGUCUGAGAGGGAGAUCCCCCACACUGGUACUGAGACACGGACCAGACUCCUACGGGAGGCAGCAGUGAGGAAUAUUGGACAAUGGAGGUAACUCUGAUCCAGCCAUGCCGCGUGCAGGAAGACGGCCCUAUGGGUUGUAAACUGCUUUUAUACGGGAAGAACCACAUCUACGUGUAGAUGCUUGACGGUACCGUAUGAAUAAGGACCGGCUAACUCCGUGCCAGCAGCCGCGGUAAUACGGAGGGUCCAAGCGUUAUCCGGAAUCAUUGGGUUUAAAGGGUCCGUAGGCGGGAUAAUAAGUCAGUGGUGAAAGUCUGCAGCUCAACUGUAGAAUUGCCAUUGAUACUGUUGUUCUUGAAUUAGUAUGAAGUGGUUGGRAUGAGUAGUGUAGCGGUGAAAUGCAUAGAUAUUACUCAGAACACCUAUUGCGAAGGCAGAUCACUAAUACUAUAUUGACGCUGAGGGACGAAAGCGUAGGUAGCGAACAGGAUUAGAUACCCUGGUAGUCUACGCCGUAAACGAUGGUUACUAGCUGUUCGGCUCGAUUGAGAGCUGAGUGGUUAAGCGAAAGUGAUAAGUAACCCACCUGGGGAGUACGUUCGCAAGAAUGAAACUCAAAGGAAUUGACGGGGGCCCGACAAGCGGUGGAGCAUGUGGUUUAAUUCGAUGAUACGCGAGGGACCUUACCAGGGCUUAAAUGCAGUUGGACAGGGUCUGGAAACAGACCCUUCUUCGGACUAAUUGCAAGGUGCUGCAUGGUUGUCGUCAGCUCGUGCCGUGAGGUGUCAGGUUAAGUCCUAUAACGAGCGCAACCCCUGUGGUUAGUUGCCAGCGAGUCAUGUCGGGAACUCUAGCCAGACUGCCGGUGCAAACCGUGAGAAGGUGGGGAUGACG
rnacentral:rRNA from 1 species